rnacentral:pre_miRNA from 1 species
CUACAAAUCACCUGGGAAUUUUGGUAAAACACAGAUCGUGAGUCAGCAGCCCCAGCGUGGAGUGCAGCCUGAGGUUUUGCAUUUCUAACAAGCUCCCUGGUAAUACCCAU